rnacentral:rRNA from 1 species
AGCGAACGCUGGCGGCAGGCCUAACACAUGCAAGUCGAACGGACCCUUCGGGGUUAGUGGCGGACGGGUGAGUAACACGUGGGAACGUGCCUUUAGGUUCGGAAUAGCUCCUGGAAACGGGUGGUAAUGCCGAAUGUGCCCUUCGGGGGAAAGAUUUAUCGCCUUUAGAGCGGCCCGCGUCUGAUUAGCUAGUUGGUGAGGUAAUGGCUCACCAAGGCGACGAUCAGUAGCUGGUCUGAGAGGAUGACCAGCCACAUUGGGACUGAGACACGGCCCAAACUCCUACGGGAGGCAGCAGUGGGGAAUCUUGCGCAAUGGGCGAAAGCCUGACGCAGCCAUGCCGCGUGGAUGAUGAAGGUCUUAGGAUUGUAAAAUCCUUUCACCGGUGAAGAUAAUGACUGUAGCCGAAGAAGAAGCCCCGGCUAACUUCGUGCCAGCAGCCGCGGUAACAC